CCUACGGGCGGCAGCAGUGGGGAAUAUUGCACAAUGGGGGAAACCCUGAUGCAGCGACGCCGCGUGAGUGAAGAAGUAAUUCGUUAUGUAAAGCUCUAUUAGCAGGGAAGAAAAUGACGGUACCUGAGUAAGAAGCCCCGGCCAACUACGUGCCAGCAGCCGCGGUAAUACGCAGGGGGCAAGCGUUAUCCGGAUUUACUGGGUGUAAAGGGAGCGUAGACGGCAGUGCAAGUCUGGAGUGAAAGGCGGGGGCUCAACCCCCGGACUGCACUGGAAACUGUACGGCUGGAGUGCAGGAGAGGUAGGUGGAAUUCCUGGUGUAGCGGUGAAAUGCGUAGAUAUUAGGAGGAACACCAGUGGCGAAGGCAGCUUACUAGACUGUAACUGACAUUGAGGCUCGAAAGCGUGGGGAGCAAACAGGAUUAGAUACCCGUGUAGUC
rnacentral:rRNA from 1 species